GUCCACGCCGUAAAACGAUGAGUACUAGGUGUUGCGGGUAUUGACCCCUGCAGUGCCGCAGCUAACGCAUUAAGUACUCCGCCUGGGAAGUACGGUCGCAAGACUAAAAACUCAAAGGAAUUGACGGGGGCCCGCACAAGCGGUGGAGCAUGUGGUUUAAUUCGACGCAACGCGCAGAACCUUACCUGGGCUUGACAUCCACGGAAUCCUCAUGAAAGUGAGGAGUGCCCUUCGGGGAGCCGUGAGACAGGUGCUGCAUGGCUGUCGU
rnacentral:rRNA from 1 species